CCUACGGGUGGCAGCAGGGAGGAAGAGUGGGCAAUGGGCGCGAGCCUGAACCAGCCAAGUAGCGGGAAGGAUGACGGCCCUACGGGUUGUAAACUUCUGUUAUAAAGGAAUAAAGUGAGGCACGUGUGCCUUUUUGUAUGUACUUUAUGAAUAAGGAUCGGCUAACUCCGUGCCAGCAGCCGCGGUAAUACGGAGGAUCCGAGCGUUAUCCGGAUUUACUGGGUGUAAAGGGCGUGCAGCCGGGAAGACAAGUCAGAUGUGAAAUCCCGCGGCUCACCCGCGGAACUGCAUUUGAAACUGUUUUUCUUGAGUACCGGAGAGGUCAUCGUAAUUCCUUGUGUAGCGGUGAAAUGCGUAGAUAUAAGGAAGAACACCAGUGGCGAAGGCGGCUGACUGGACGGCAACUGACGGUGAGGCGCGAAAGCGUGGGGAGCAAACAGGAUUAGCUACCCUUGUAGUC
rnacentral:rRNA from 1 species